rnacentral:rRNA from 1 species
AUACGUAGGUGGCGAGCGGUUGUCCGGAAUUACUGGGUGUAAAGGGCGUGUAGGCGGGAAUGUAAGUCAGAUGUGAAAUCCCAGGGCUUAACCCUGGAGCUGCAUCUGAAACUAUGUUUCUUGAGUGUCGGAGAGGAAAGCGGAAUUCCUAGUGUAGCGGUGAAAUGCGUAGAUAUUAGGAGGAACACCAGUGGCGAAGGCGGCUUUCUGGACGAUAACUGACGCUGAGCGCG